rnacentral:rRNA from 1 species
UACGUAGGGGGCAAGCGUUGUCCGGAUUUAUUGGGCGUAAAGAGCGUGUAGGCGGCCAGGUAGGUCGGUUGUGAAAACUCGAGGCUCAACCUCGAGAUGUCGACCGAAACCAUCUGGCUAGAGUCCGGAAGAGGAGAAUGGAAUUCCCGGUGUAGCGGUGAAAUGCGUAGAUAUUGGGAGGAACACCAGUGGCGAAGGCGGCUCACUGGACCGGAACUGACGCUGAGGCGCGAAAGCGUGGGGAGCAAACAGG